UUGCACUCCUCAAGGAAACUAGAACUAACGGUAACCAAGACAGAUGGUAAAAGCAGCACACUGCCCCCUCAGGCAGUAAAUUAUCUUUGCAUGACGUAUGAUACUGAUUGCAGGAUGCAUGGAUGGCAGAUAUAGUCAUUAACCAGUAAAUUCUCUUCCCGACUAGCGGGCACCUUGAAUAGCUCUACCAGUGUUUAUAAGGCUCAAGAACACGCAGCAUAUCUAAAAAUUCCAAGAAGUUCACAUGCAAAAGAGAUGUAUCCGGUGUGUAAACAGAAGGUGCUAAAGUCUCAAAUUAGCUCUUAGGAAUUGCGAAGCACAAAUGUACCCGAAACUUAUAUUGUUUUGUGCCCCAAGAACAGUUAAACAUAGCAGGUCGAAUUCUGCAAGAUGUGUUGCCAGGAGUUGGUCUUCGCAUCCUAUAUGAGCAGUGGCAAGCCACAUCUCUAAACAAACACAAAUCUCCUAAGGGUCCACUAAU